rnacentral:rRNA from 1 species
GGGAUUGCCUUAGUAACUGCGAGUGAAGCGGCAAAAGCUCAAAUUUGAAAUCGGGGUCCUUCUCGGGCUUCGAGUUGUAAUUUGGAGGGAUAUCUUCGGUACGGACUACAUCGUAAGUUCCUUGGAACAGGACGUCAUAGAGGGUGAGAAUCCCGUGUCUUGGUGUCUGGCCGUGCCAUGUGAAGUGUCUCCGACGAGUCGAGUUGUUUGGGAAUGCAGCUCAAAAUGGGUGGUAAAUUUCAUCUAAAGCUAAAUAUUGGCGAGAGACCGAUAGCGCACAAGUAGAGUGAUCGAAAGAUGAAAAGCACUUUGAAAAGAGAGUUAAAAAGUACGUGAAAUUGUUGAAAGGGAAGCGCUUGCGACCAGACUCGAUCUUUGGUGAUCAGCCGGGCUUCUGUCCGGUGCCCUUGCCAUUGAUUGGGCCAGCAUCGGUUCCGACGGUGGGAUAAAAGGAGGAGGAAUGUGGCUCCCUUCGGGGAGUGUUAUAGCCUCCUUCACAAUGCCACCAGUUGGGACCGAGGACCGCGCUUCGGCUAGGAUGCUGGCGUAAUGGUCUUAAGCGACCCGUCUUGAAACACGGACCAAGGAGUCUAACAUCUAUGCGAGUGUUCGGGUGGAAAACCCUUGCGCGUAAUGAAAGUGAACGGAGGUGUGAACCCUUUACCGGGUGCAACAUCGACCGGUCCUGAUGUCUUCGGAAGGAUCUGAGUAAGAGCAUAGCUGUUGGGACCCGAAAGAUGGUGAACUAUGCCUGAAUAGGGUGAAGCCAGAGGAAACUCUGGUGGAGGCUCGCAGCGGUUCUGACGUGCAA